GAUGAACGCUGGCGGCGUGCCUAAUACAUGCGAGUCGAGCGAACAGACGAGGAGCUUGCUCCUCUGACGUUAGCGGCGGACGGGUGAGUAACACGUGGAUAACCUACCUAUAAGACUGGGAUAACUUCGGGAAACCGGAGCUAAUACCGGAUAAUAUAUUGAACCGCAUGGUUCAAUAGUGAAAGACGGUUUUGCUGUCACUUAUAGAUGGAUCCGCGCCGCAUUAGCUAGUUGGUAAAGUAACGGCUUACCAAGGCAACGAUGCGUAGCCGACCUGAGAGGGUGAUCGGCCACACUGGAACUGAGACACGGUCCAGACUCCUACGGGAGGCAGCAGUAGGGAAUCUUCCGCAAUGGGCGAAAGCCUGACGGAGCAACGCCGCGUGAGUGAUGAAGGUCUUCGGAUCGUAAAACUCUGUUAUUAGGGAAGAACAAAUGUGUAAGUAACUAUGCACGUCUUGACGGUACCUAAUCAGAAAGCCACGGCUAACUACGUG
rnacentral:rRNA from 1 species